GCGGACAGAUGGGAGCUUGCUCCCUGAUGUUAGCGGCGGACGGGUGAGUAACACGUGGGUAACCUGCCUGUAAGACUGGGAUAACUCCGGGAAACCGGGGCUAAUACCGGAUGCUUGUUUGAACCGCAUGGUUCAAACAUAAAAGGUGGCUUCGGCUACCACUUACAGAUGGACCCGCGGCGCAUUAGCUAGUUGGUGAGGUAACGGCUCACCAAGGCAACGAUGCGUAGCCGACCUGAGAGGGUGAUCGGCCACACUGGGACUGAGACACGGCCCAGACUCCUACGGGAGGCAGCAGUAGGGAAUCUUCCGCAAUGGACGAAAGUCUGACGGAGCAACGCCGCGUGAGUGAUGAAGGUUUUCGGAUCGUAAAGCUCUGUUGUUAGGGAAGAACAAGUACCGUUCGAAUAGGGCGGUACCUUGACGGUACCUAACCAGAAAGCCACGGCUAACUACGUGCCAGCAGCCGCGGUAAUACGUAGGUGGCAAGCGUUGUCCGGAAUUAUUGGGCGUAAAGGGCUCGCAGGCGGUUCCUUAAGUCUGAUGUGAAAGCCCCCGGCUCAACCGGGGAGGGUCAUUGGAAACUGGGGAACUUGAGUGCAGAAGAGGAGAGUGGAAUUCCACGUGUAGCGGUGAAAUGCGUAGAGAUGUGGAGGAACACCAGUGGCGAAGGCGACUCUCUGGUCUGUAACUGACGCUGAGGAGCGAAAGCGUGGGGAGCGAACAGGAUUAGAUACCCUGGUAGUCCACGCCGUAAACGAUGAGUGCUAAGUGUUAGGGG
rnacentral:rRNA from 1 species